rnacentral:rRNA from 1 species
UACGAAGGGGGCUAGCGUUGCUCGGAAUCACUGGGCGUAAAGCGCACGUAGGCGGACUCUUAAGUCGGUGGUGAAAUCCUGGAGCUCAACUCCAGAACUGCCUUCGAUACUGAGAGUCUCGAGUCCGAGAGAGGUAAGUGGAACUGCGAGUGUAGAGGUGAAAUUCGUAGAUAUUCGCAAGAACACCAGUGGCGAAGGCGGCUCACUGGCUCGGUACUGACGCUGAGGUGCGAAAGCGUGGGGAGCAAACAGG